AUGGAAGCUAGAUGUGAGGAUGUCAGGGAGCCUUUCUCCUUCAUCUCUAGUGACCAGCCCUGCAGCAGCCGAGACAUCCAGGCUAUGGAUGCAGUGGCUUCUACUGACGGUGGCCAGAACGAGUGUGGCCUGCAGGUCUCUGCCACCACCAUCACACUGUCCACAGGGCCCAUCCCAGCAGAUAUUGCCCAGGGCCUGGCCCUGUACCGGCGCAAGAUUGACCUAGAGUCGUCCCCCCGGGACUCUCCUCCACUCGGGGCUUCCGCCAACAACUCCUGUGCGCGUGUCUGUUCGGCCCUCUUCGAGCGGGUCUCCUUCAGCGAGAUCAGCCAGGAGUUGGAUGCGGUGCUGAUCCAGACUGACGUGCUCCCAUCAGAGUCCCUGAUCAUCGUGCAGACAGAGCAUGUACCCGAGAUGAUUGUGUUCCAGGCUCAUCCCCUAUUGGCUGAGAACGCAGCAGUGGCUCCGCCUCCGUGUGACGUCCCUGUCAGGUCUAAGUGCAGCUGUGCCUCGAUGGUGGGCGCCCUCGAAGACGUGAUGGCACCAUUGGAGGUGGACGGUACAUCUCAGCCGAGCUAUCCCAUCUUGGCAUCCAUCUGUGAGAGAGCAGCUCCCGUGGUGGAGAGACCAGCUGCCAUGGUCGCUGAGCCUGAGGAGUCUCCAGCCCUUGAGGUCCACUCUGCACCAGUCGAACCCCAGGAGAUGACACCCUCAAGGCCCUCCAUCCCAGUGGGAACACUGGAGCUCCCUGUUUCAGCCCCUGCUGUGUCUGACUCCCCUGCUAUGGCUGUCCAAGAGGUGCAGAUUAGUGUGACUGAUCGUCCUCUCGCAGUCAUCCUACACUCCCUCUCUGGUGCAACUUCACCAUCCGAGACAGCAGAGGAUGUGAUGCUGGUUCCUAUGGUAGUGUCCCCUCCUGAAUCAGUCAAAAAGGCGUCGAGAGAGUCCUCUGAUUUUCUGUGUCCUCUUCCUGCAGCAACAUUGGAGACUGAGUCUGUUAGUGUGAUUUGUCCCCCUCCUUCUCCAGUGACUGUGGAGAUCCAACCUUCCAUUCUGGCUUCUCCCCUUACUGCUGCAACCGUGGAGACAGAAUCCUCCAAUCGGAUUUGUCCUCCUUCUGUGGUCAGCGUGGAGACGGAAUUGGCCAAUAUGCUAUCUCCUUCUGCUGCAGAGACAGUGGAGGCCGACUCUUCUGUUGUGACCUGUCCCCAUACUGCAGUGACCGACGACUUUGUGGCCCCUGUUUCUGUGUGCCUCCCUGUUGUGGCACUAGAAGAGACCGGUGUCCCCAGUGUGCAGCUCCCAGCUCCUGCGCCUGCCUUGACAGAGGAAACUCUGUGCCAGUCUGCUUCACCAUGCCUACCCACCGUCACGGCCGCAGGAGAGUCCAGAACCCCCUUCUUGGUCUACCUCCCACUGCCUGCUCCAGAGCUGGCUAAGACCCCUGGUCUGUUGUGCCAACUGGGCCUGGGACCAGAGGAAGCCAAGAGCUUCCCUUUCCUGUGUCUCCCUAUUUCUGACAUCCCCAGGACCCCAAGUCUUGUGACUGCCGGCCUGGCUCCAGCUCAGACUGCGGCUGUGGCUCCUGCUGCUGCUCCGGAUUUACCAAGGACCAACCUCCCUGGAGUGACAGAUAUCCCCAGGACCCUGAGUUAUGUGGCGGCUGGAGCUCAGGAGCUACCACGGCUCCAGAGCUAUGCGGCUAACACCGCUGAAGUCCAGGAGCCACCGAGGACCCCCAGCUAUCUGGCUAACACCCCUGGAGUUCAGGAAAUACCACACAACCCCAGCUAUCUGAAAAACCCAGCUGUCUUCCAAGAUAUGUGCUUUAUGUGCCCCUCCGUUACCGCCUCCAAUCUGUCCAGGAACAAUAGCUUUGUGCACUCUCCAGCUGCCAUGGCUCCACAGCAGCUGAUUAGGGGCCCGUGUAUGGUGUCUCUGUACCCCCAGGGAGGGCCUGUGAUGGGCCACUGUACUCACUCCCCAGGGCAGUGUCCUGCAUCUCUGCAGCAGCAGGCUGGCAUGGCUCCGCUCAACCACGGACAGCAGACCAACACCAACUUCAUGCCCAUUUGUUCUCAAAGGCCAAGCCUGUGUAGCUGCCUCAGCAGGACCGGCAGCCACUGGCGCUUCUGCCACCUGACGCGACCCGAGUCCCAGGGCAGGGUGGGCGGCAUGAUCUGCCCCUACCAGAACUCCCAGACCAUGAUGCACUGCAACAGCCUGGAUCACAUGGCCAACAUCCCCAUGUACCAGGACUGUGGCCACUACUCUAGCAGCUGCCACCUGCUGCCACCGUGCUCCCAGUCGUCCCACGGCAGCCUGCACACCCACCACAUGGAGGAGCCCCGUUGCUCUGCUUACAACCUGGGCACCUCCUUCGUCCAGCCCCAGCCCCAGACCUGCUCCUCCGACCCCCUCUUCCACUUCCCCCAGCAGUACCACCUGGUGGCCACCCCCUCCCAGGAGAGGCAGCAGGCCCUGUGCCCUCUCCAGUGCCCACUGCUGCAGCAGCGCCACAGCUCCCUGCUCUUUUGUGGGCACCAGGGGGAGCUGAGCAGGCUGGGCUGCUCCAGCUGUGUCCCUGCCACCAACCAGAGACAGAACCAGGGAGGGGUGGAGCAGAAGAACAACAUCCCCAGCUGCGCAUCGCUUCAUGACAAAAGAUUAGACACAAGCUCAAACAACAAUCACGGUAGCUAA
rnacentral:lncRNA from 8 species